rnacentral:misc_RNA from 1 species
UCAAACUUGGUCAUUUAGAGGAAGUAAAAGUCGUAACAAGGUUUCCGUAGGUGAACCUGCGGAAGGAUCAUUAAUGAAUAAACCUGUGUGGGUUGUUGCUGACCUCUUUGGGGUAUGUGCACGCCUGCCGUCGUUUCAUUCACCCUUCCACCUGUGCACUCUCUGUAGGCUGCGCUGUCAUUCUUUCAGGUUCAAUGAAUGGACCUGGUAUGGGGGAAUUGCCUCUCUCUGGCCUUCCUUGGAUGGCUGUGGUCUAUGUCUUUAUCAACUCGUAUGUAGGGAAUGUAUGAACUGGGCUUCUAUUGCCUAUAAACCUUAUACAACUUUCAACAACGGAUCUCUUGGCUCUCGCAUCGAUGAAGAACGCAGC